AUAAUUUCAGUCUAUUUCAAUAAUUUUGAAAUGAAUAAAUGCGUGAUGAUUUUGGCACAUUGAUUUUUAAUCACCCUGCACAUACAUCAUAUAUAUAUAUAAACAUAUUAUAUACAUAUUCACUAUAUAAAAUUAUGUACACAUAAUAUGCGGUCAAUAAACUAUACUGCGACAUUUUAUUCAUAAACUGUAAUACUGUCUUGCAUCUGUGAAUAAACACACAAUUUGCACUUCAGCCUCCAAGGCAUAUUUAUUUGGCAAUUGGAAACGAGGUGGGGGGUGCAACACUUUUAUUUUUUUUAAUAUUUCAAAAUACAGUUCCAAUGGACUUCUUCAAAUUUGAAAUUUUACCUUUUUCAUCAAUCAUAUGCAAACUGAUAUUGACUAUCAAACCAUACUCGGUGUAGUAGUUAAAGUUAAAGAUACAUUUUUAUAUACAUACUCAUUAACUUAAGUACUGGGGAUGGGGCAAGUUAGUAGCUCACAUGUUGUUUACUGAAUUCUCAUCUCAGAAGCGAAACAAACAUUAUUUCUUUUACACAUUUUAAACAACAAACCAACCAAAACAAUACUGCGCUCAAACCAGUGUGGUAUAAAUAAAUAUAAUAAAAAUUAUUUGUUGUUGUGUGGGACAUUUCCAACACCGUAUAUCCAGGUCUGCUCGCGUUGUCGUUGAAGAACUGGUUCCACGAUGCUAGGCUAGCUGCAAAGGCUACCCCAGGAUACAUCGGCGUGCCCGGGCAUCUGUCUCGGAGUGCCCGCGCGGCGUGCGAGAACUAUACCACCGAGCCACCAAUACUUGCAAUGGAAGACGGGCGGCACGCUGAAAUGAAUAAUCAAAGGGAACACAAAGAAACAGACGAGCAUUGGCACCCACAUCGUAUUCAUACCGUCAUUGAGUGACAAUUCAUCCCGCGCUUCCUUGGUCGAAAUCGAUAAGAAACCUGGAUUCGUCCACAAUAGCGUCCCGAGGCCUCCAUUUCACUGGGCCAAACACCGGAGGAACAGUCGACGCCCACGUCAAUUGCGUCAGAAGCUACAAUGUAGCUUAUUGGUCAAACUAACGUCACCCCCUCACGAUUUUACAAAAUAAAAGCAGGCACAUUAUGUUAAAUAGGAAAAGGGUGAUUUUACACACCAAAAAAAGGUCCACGACACAUAUUUAGAUGAUAUAUAUGUAUUUAUUCUAUUAAGAAUGUUGCCAAGCUUGAAUGAUGCUUUAUACAAGUAAAAAUAUAUCGCUUCCGCCGUAAAUACUUUUAUUUUGAAAAGGACCAGUACAGCUUCCUACUAUAAAAUGCCUCGUAUACUAUCUACUGAAAUGCCGUGCACUGUCAUUUGUGAGAUGCUCUUCUACACACAAGUGAGAUUCUGUGCAGUCUCAUUACUGAGAGCCUCUUAUACACACAAGUGAAUAACCUCUCACACAUAAGACUGAAAAAUAUCUCACAUUCCUUGGUCAAACGUUCGUAUAAAUGCAUGUGAAAACAUCUGUACAGAUACGUAUGACUUAAAAAGCUAUCAGACAUAAGUCUCGGUAAUUAUAAGUAUGGGGGUAAUUAUAAGUAUCCACAUUGAUGCAUGCCAUUGAAUUAUAAUAAAUUGAAUGGUUGAAUAAUCAAGAAAGCAAGAUAUUUUCAUUAGCACAUAUAUUUUAAGCUUGAUAAAGAUAGAUCUAAAUAAAGUUUAAGAUUUUUUUAGCAUUAUUGAAUAAAUUAUAUUGUGUGUUUUAAACGUGGCAUUAAAAAACAACAACAAUAAUAUUACAUUUUAUUUUUAGGUGUCUUUCAGGACACUCAAGAUUGCCGUACAAGGUAAAAGGUAAAAAAUAAGUUAAAAUACACACAUACAGAUAAAACCCACAACAAUGUUAAAUUAAAAAGAAUAAUGGAAUUAUGAGGAAGAAAGCCUGUCUGAAUAAAUAUGUUUCAAGAUGUUACUUGGCUGAGAUUGUAAGGAAGUCCAAAGUAUUGUGCGGCCUCAUCAACAUCAAAUUAUAAUCGAUAUAAGGGUCAGCAGGGAUGAAAUCGAACUACAUAUUCACACACAUUCAGUACUAGCCUACAUUCUAUAAUGAAUUGGAACACUGAUAAAGGUAUAGUUUAUGGUUUUUAUUUAAAACUGUAUUUUUGAUGACUGCUGUUAGUUAAAACGUCCACUAGAUGGCAUUAUAUGAUCUUGCAUUGCACUAAAACCAGGUAUAUGAGCGUUGCAUUUUGGGAAAUGAAGAUGCUAUGAACGCUAAUGGAGAAAACGCUAACGCUAGCGCGACCUCUUUCAAACCAAAGAAAAACUGACGAGUUCCAGACUGCUCUAAUCAGCGAAUUACAUCUGAGUUCUGUGUGAUACAAGUGUCUGACAGAAUUGAUGUCAAGGAGGAUUCGGCCUGAUUCAAUGAGGGAUUGAGGACCAAUUUUUUUCAACUUCAGCCAACUGUUGGAGCAUCACCCAAAGCAGAUAAGGUCGUGGAGGAAAAGACGUUAGUUUGACCAAUAAGCUACAUUGUAGCUUAUGACACAAUUGAAGUGGGCGUCAACUGUUCCUCCGGCUUUUGGCACAUUUAAAUGGAGGCCAGUAUCCGGACGAGUCCAGGUUACCUGCUGAUAUCGACAAAGAGAAGCACAGGAUAAAUUGCCACUCAGUGACGGUAUGAAUGUGGGUGCCAAUGGUCGUCUGUCUCUUUGUGUACCCUGUGAUUAAUCAUUUCAGCGUGCUGCCCGUCUUCCAUUGCAAGUAUUGGUGGCUCGGUGGUAGAGUUUUCGCACGCUGCGCGGGAACCCCGAGACUGAUGCCCGGGCACGCCGAUGCAUCUUGGGGUAGCCUUUGCAGCUAGCCUCGCAUCGGGGCAACAGUUCCGCUACGACAACGCGAGCAGACCAGGAUAUACGGUGUUGGAAAUGUCCCACACUACAACAAAUCAUUAUUUUAUCCACACUGGUUUGAGUGCAAUAUUGUUGUGGUUGGUUCGUUGUUUAAAAUGUGUAAAAGAAAUAAUGUUUGUUUUGCAUGUGGGAUGAGAAUUCAGUAAAACGGCAUGUGAGGGACUAACUUGUCCCCCCCCUCCACAGUACUUAAGUUACUGAAUAUGUAUAUAAAAAUGGAUCUUAAGCUACUAUACCGAGUGUGGUUUGAUUGUCAAUAUCAGUUUGCAUAUGACUGAUGAAAAAGGUAAAAUUUCAGAUUUGAAGAAGUCCAUUGGAACUGUUUUGAAAUAAAAAAAACCAUCCCACCUUGUUUCCAAUUGCCAAAUAUAUAUGCCUUGUAGACUGAAGUGCAAAUUGUGUUUAUUCACAGAUGCAAGACAGUGUUAAAGUAUAAGAAUAAAAUGUCGCAGUAAGGUUUAUUGACCACAUAUUAUAUGUACAUAAUAUAAUUAUAUAUAAGGAAUGUUUGUAUAUAUAAUUUAUGUUUGUACAUAUGAUGUAUGUGUGUAUGUGCAGGGUGAUUCAAAAACAAUGUGCCAAAAUCACACAUUUAUUCCUUUCAAAAUCAUUGACAUAGACUGAAAUGAUUAAUUAAAUUGUUAAUUUGAUAAGAAAGUCUCUUUAUCAAGUAAGUUAACAAAUUUAGUCAUAUCAGCUUGAUUGUCCGUGAUGCUGCUGGUGGUCACAUUGAGCACUUGUAAAGCAUGAAAUAAAAACAAAAAUAUACAAUACUUGUGUCAAUGUAGUUAUUGCCCCCCCAAUUUACCGCAAUGGUUUUGGCCCAUUCUUUUUUUCAUCACCCUGUAUAGUGUAUGUGUGUAUAUAUGUAUGUGUAUAUAUAUACAUUAUUUCUAUAUAUUUAUGCAAAUAUUUUGCGGUACUUCGUGCUGAUUGCAGCUAUGCUCUGGACCCGCGUUCCGUCGACAUUCGCUGGAAGUGA